UUUUUACAUAGGUUUUGGAAGUCUGCUAUUGGAGAUGCUCCGGAGGCACGACGGAGUCAACGAGUUUAUCGGAUGAUUUAUCAGUGGGGCCCACAUGAACGUGACUUCAAUCCCCUCAAUUCCGUUGUCCUCCUGGUUUGGAGCACGGCACCAAUCAACCAACCCCCAAUCGAGCACGCCGUCCACUUCCGAGGUCGCGUGCGUGGAUAGGGUUUGCUUCGCCGCCGUCCCGCCGACUGCGCCUCCCCCCUCGUCGCCGCGCCGCCGCCGGGGAGACCAGGCCACCACCAGCCGAGCUACCGAUCGAUCGACCAACGCGGUGAUGGCGAUGGCCGCGGCGCACCAGAUCCCCAAGGUCGCCCACACCCUCGUCGAGAUCGCCGAGGUCGCGCGCUACGCCUACGAGCACCGCUCCGGCCACGCCCCGGACCACGACGGCGCCACGGCGAUGGCCGCCGACGGGGAGGAGGCCGCGCGGCUGCGGGCGGAUAACGCCGUCCUCCGCGCCCGCCUCGCGGACGACCUCGCCCUCCUUCGCGAGCUUCAGGGCGCGCCCUUUGUUUCCCAGGAGUGCCCUCCCGACUUGCAUAAUCGUCUCGUAGCAUCAGUCAACAAUGCUGGCUUCCUUGCUCAUCUUGAGAAAGUACGAGAUGAGCCGCUGCAUCAACAUACCAAACUAUCUAUUGGCAGUGUGACAGAGGUGGACAUUGGAGAUAUUCCUUACACUAAAGAUGAGGGGAAGACUGGGUCAUGGCUCUUGGUUUCCUGUGACACUGCUGGGGGCAAUUUGGAGGAAAUUAGUGGAAUUGAUGACGAAAAUUAUGUGAUGGUUAAUGAAGAUGACAUCGUUGAUGCUAUUGCUACCUUUGUUGCUAGGUGCAUUCUUGAAGAUCCAAAGUCCAAGUCAUUAUCAUCGAAAGAGCUGCAAAAAGCUGUUGCAACGGCAUUGAGCAGCAUGACAGACCGGAAGAAAUGGAUAAGUUUCUGGGAGGCUGGAAAGGUGAUUUACAUACUGGCAACUUGGGGUAUCACAAUAGCAGGGCUGUACAGGAGUCGUGCUGUCCUGAAAAUGGCAGCCAAAGGAGCUGUCGUCUCCACCAAAUUUAUCAUGAAGGCAUUGUAAGGUGCCAAGUGCCAGUGAAUUAGUGGCGUCAUGAUCACACGCAACGGUCCGCAAAUUGUAAAUACAAACUCAUCGCGUCAACUGUACAUAUGUGUUGUGUGAUAUGGUCUAUCAGAGAACUAUUCGUUGGUCAGAUGUGCUGUAACUUCUGAAAUGAUAAUGAUUUCUCUCGUCGUGUAUGAAUAACGGGGGCAAAUAUAUGCUUGUCAUGUCUCAAAGUCUCUGGAGUGAUAUAGGGGGGCUCUGCUCCACAUGUUUGUUGUAUGCCGGAGUCUCCCCGGACUGAUUUGGCUUAGCUGGGAACUGCCUUCUCUUCACAUAUAUACUCCAACUAGCUGUUCACUGUAUGGCCAUCUGACAAGAAAUUUCAAAUUCUUCAGAUGGUUCAUGUGAAUUGUACUGGUACUUUCACACUUCUUAUGAAUCUUUGCCGAAUUUUACACUGAAUUGAAUGUGAAACCGGCCUGCAUGAAUGGUGAUGAUGGUGUGUGGCAUGUUUGCAAAAAGGUCUCAUCCACUCCUAUAUGCAAAAAAGAUCCCGUCUCUCUGGACCAGCCGCAUCCCUUCUCACCCCAUCUUAACACACUUCCGAUAUCCUUUUUGAUAUAUACGUACCAAACUCUAUUUCAAGUUUGUGAAUAUGUAUUGGUCCAUUUUGAAUGUGUUGACACUUUUCCUUGCUUUUGGGGAGGAAGCACAGGCAUUUUGAGCUAUGCUCACGGCGCGCAAAAGAACAUGACUUUGGCACCUUCAAAUAUUUCAAUGUAA
rnacentral:rRNA from 1 species